AACGCAUAUUGCGCCCGAGGCCUCUGGCCAAGGGCAUGUCUGCCUCAGCGUCGGGUUAAUACUCGCCCCCUCUUCUCAUUUAUGAGUAGAACGGGCGGAUCUGGCCGUUCCAGUGAUCAUUUGAGAGUUGGAUCAGCCGAAGAACAGAGGCUAACCAAGGACCCGUCAAGGGCCGCAACUGGGUGGGCAGCUCACGCUUGCUAUAUCAUCUUGGUUGUUGGUCUGGGACUUUGUUGUUCGGCCCAAAACAGGAAAACCCACAUUCAUUAUCUCGACCUGAGCUCAGGCAAGAACACCCGCUGAACUUAA
rnacentral:misc_RNA from 1 species